UACAGAGGGUGCGAGCGUUAAUCGGAAUUACUGGGCGUAAAGGGCGCGUAGGCGGCCUGCUAAGUCGAACGUGAAAUCCCUGGGCUCAACCCAGGAACUGCGUCCGAUACUGGUUGGCUUGAAUCCGGGAGAGGGAUGUGGAAUUCCAGGUGUAGCGGUGAAAUGCGUAGAUAUCUGGAGGAACACCGGUGGCGAAGGCGGCAUCCUGGACCAACACUGACGCUGAGGAGCGAAAGCCAGGGGAGCAAACGGG
rnacentral:rRNA from 1 species